GACGAACGCUGGCGGCGUGCUUAACACAUGCCAGUCGAACGGAAAGGCCCUGCUUUUGUGGGGUGCUCGAGUGGCGAACGGGUGAGUAACACGUGAGUAACCUGCCCUUGACUUUGGGAUAACUUCAGGAAACUGGGGCUAAUACCGGAUAGGAGCUCCUGCUGCAUGGUGGGGGUUAGAAAGUUUCGGCGGUUGGGGAUGGACUCGCGGCUUAUCAGCUUGUUGGUGGGGUAGUGGCUUACCAAGGCUUUGACGGGUAGCCGGCCUGAGAGGGGGAACGGCCACAUUGGGACUGAGAGACGGCGCAGACUCCUACGGGAGGCAGCAGUGGGGAAUAUUGCACAAUGGGCGGAAGCCUGAUGCAGCAACGCCGCGUGCGGGAUGACGGCCUUCGGGUUGUAAACCGCUUUCGCCGGUGACGAAGCGUGAGUGACGGUAAUGGGUAAAGAAGCACCGGCUAACUACGUG
rnacentral:rRNA from 1 species